ACGAACGCUGGCGGCGUGCUUAACCCAUGCAAGUCGAACGGAAAGGCCCUGCUUUUGUGGGGUGCUCGAGUGGCGAACGGGUGAGUAACACGUGAGUAACCUGCCCUUGACUUUGGGAUAACUUCAGGAAACUGGGGCUAAUACCGGAUAGGAGCUCCUGCUGCAUGGUGGGGGUUGGAAAGUUUCGGCGGUUGGGGAUGGACUCGCGGCUUAUCAGCUUGUUGGUGGGGUAGUGGCUUACCAAGGCUUUGACGGGUAGCCGGCCUGAGAGGGUGACCGGCCACAUUGGGACUGAGAUACGGCCCAGACUCCUACGGGAGGCAGCAGUGGGGAAUAGUGCACAAUGGGCGGAAGCCUGAUGCAGCAACGCCGCGUGCGGGAUGACGGCCUUCGGGUUGUAAACCGCUUUCGCCUGUGACGAAGCGUGAGUGACGGUAAUGGGUAAAGAAGCACCGGCUAACUACGUG
rnacentral:rRNA from 1 species